GUACGACCUUGGAGUUUCUAGAAUCUUCAUCUUGUUUUUCACUUGAGAAGCUUUCGCUUCAGUUGGUGUCUUUGUGAUUCAUUUGUUUCUUCAAGCAAUCUCAAUUCAUUCAUUCUCGAUCAAACAGUGCUGGUCCUGAGGUUUCUUCAACACUGAGUUGGAUUCUGGAAUAUUUCUCUUGAAAUUUUACUUGAACUGUGUCAUCAGAUGACAACCAUGUCCGCUUCUACCGCGGCACUGCAAACGCCAGGUGCUCAGGUGUCGGCAGCUUCCGGCUUGGACUCGCCAAGUGCUCAGACAUCCCAGGCGGCUAUCGGCUCGGCAACGGCAGGUGCUCAGGCGUCAGCUACCGACAUGGAAGUUGCUGCCGCUCGUGCUGAACGUCCUGAGGAAGUAAAUCUCGUCGAUGAAU